rnacentral:rRNA from 1 species
GAUUGACAGGAAGUAUCGUCUUUUGAAAUCUUUAAGUACAUGUCGUUUCUAAUGACAUCUUUUAGAUGAAUGAUUCGUGUAAAUAUGCUAGUUCUUUCAUGAUUAUGUGAUAGGUGGUGCAUGGCCGUUCUUAGUUCGUGGAGUGAUCUGUCUGCUUAAUUGCGUUUCACUAUGGCCCCAAAGUUAGCAAGUUAUCCAAUCAUGACCUUCGUCGACCCCUCACCUUUGAGUGCGCGUCCUAGCUUAUAGCACAUGGUGUAAAUGGACUUGUU